UUGGGUUGGAAGCAGAAGCAGCAAUGUGGAGAGACAAGCCACCCGGUUUGAAGAUCCUGUGGGUCUGGACCCUCGGCACCGCCGCUGUUUUGGUUGCGAAUGUGGUCAGGACCAGGAUCACAGACAUGGACAAAGUUAUCAACAACACCCACGAGCAUCAACAACACCAACUCAGCGCCGCCGACACCGAAACACUCCCGGAGCCUCACUCCGGUGAACUGAAACCCCAGUAGCUACUUGGGCAUCAUUCCCAAUUUUGUAUCAACGCUCGACUCUUUUGUAAUGUGAAUUUCAUAUUUCAGGAUUUCAUUUUGAUUAUGUUGACAACUGCUGCUUUACUAGAAUCUGCUUCUUUCCUUAUACUAAUCAGGUGUCAUUACUCUUAUCCCUAAUUCCUUCUUGCUAUGUCAGCUGCUUCCUGUCAAGACUAGUCAAUUAGGUCAAUAGUUAGAGCUGCCCACUUUAUUGGAAUAUGAACCAGUGAUAGCUUUAGACCGGUUGUAGCAAAUGAUCUCUCUUAUCAUUCUUCUUUGUGUUUAUGAAGACAAUAGGUUAUCCAAUGAAACAUGAUUUGGAUGUGGAUGUGCUGCUUUGAAUUUCUUGUUUGAUUAGCAAGACUUUAGUACUCAGAACUUAUUAAGCUAAAUUCAUGUUGGCCUGCUCUAAUGAAGAAAAAGAGAGAAGAAUCUUCAUAGUGCUGGGUUAUUAUUGCCACUGCUUUAUAGAGUCUGGUUGGUAAUGCCAGCAAAUUUCAUAAUCUCCUGUAUCAAAGUUAUAUGCUGUUCCAUUAUUCU